AAUCGUCGGUUUACAGCCAGCCAACUCGCUACCGUCGCCGGCCUUUUGUUGGACUUUGCUAUGCCUUUAUAUGCCUUUAUUGCGUGUUGUUAUGGUGGCUAGAGUGGUGUGGUGAUUGGCGAUAGCCAACUGAAAUGGAGUCGCCCUCCUUUGAAGACGUCCGUGGAUAUCAGCAUGUUCAGUUUCAGGGGAUUCGACGCAGUGCGCCUAACUCAGGCAGUCUCUACAAUGGGCUUCCAGCACGUGGAUUUUGCCGUCGUUUAUGUUGGUGGCAACGACCUUAGCCACGCUAACGCGGUGCCUCAGAAGGUAUGCGACAAUAUCAGGACGUAAGUUUUACAGCUCCUACACGAAGUGGCCCCGGCGGUGUAUGUGUUCAAGGUGCUCCCGCGUUGUUACAGCCAUGAGGACACCGAUGCGCAACGCGAGGCACGAAAAACGCGCUUGCUUAACCGUAAGAUGACGGCUACGCUGAAGCGCCUGCCAUGUGUUCGCAUUUUGAACGCCGAGCCGAAGAUGCCGCCCGGCUCCAAGUACUUCGUGCAGUCACCUGAGCAAUCGCCAUCAUCGUCGACUAAGGGUAGGACGGGACGGGGGAUAAUCUUUUUUCCCUGCUCUGCCCAAAAGAAACAG